rnacentral:rRNA from 1 species
UUUGGAGUGCUCGAAAGAGAACCUGCACACAGGUGCUGCAUGGCUGUCGUCAGCUCGUGUCGUGAGAUGUUGGGUUAAGUCCCGCAACGAGCGCAACCCUUGCCAUUAGUUGCUACGAAAGGGCACUCUAAUGGGACUGCCGGUGACAAACCGGAGGAAGGUGGGGAUGACGUCAAGUCCUCAUGGCCCUUAUAGGUGGGGCUACACACGUCAUACAAUGGCCGGUACAGAGGGUAGCCAACCCGCGAGGGGGAGCCAAUCCAUCAAAGCCGGUCGUAGUCCGGAUCGCAGUCUGCAACUCGACUGCGUGAAGUCGGAAUCGCUAGUAAUCGUGGAUCAGCAUGUCACGGUGAAUACGUUCCCGGGUCUU